rnacentral:rRNA from 1 species
UACGUAGGGGGCAAGCGUUAUCCGGAUUUACUGGGUGUAAAGGGAGCGUAGACGGCGAUGCAAGCCAGAUGUGAAAGCCCGGGGCUCAACCCCGGGACUGCAUUUGGAACUGUGUGGCUGGAGUGUCGGAGAGGCAAGUGGAAUUCCUAGUGUAGCGGUGAAAUGCGUAGAUAUUAGGAGGAACACCGGUGGCGAAAGCGGCUCUCUGGCCUGUAACUGACACUGAGGCUCGAAAGCGUGGGGAGCAAACAGG